rnacentral:lncRNA from 1 species
GAUGUGCAAAUAUCUUAUUUAGUUUUUAUUACUUUACAAAAAAUGUCAAGAUAACCCAUUUGAAUAAUUAUACCCAAACGACAUUAUUGUUCAGAACAACAAAAGAGUAACUAACACCCAAAUAUUAAAAAAUGACUUGAUAAGCAUCCCAUCAUUUCUAACUUUUAGUCGAAUAUGCCACUUACAAAGACUAAUAAAUUUAUUUUGUUUCAAAUAUCAAUUUUCCAUCCAGUUGUCCUCCUAAUCAUGCCACCUAGAAAAUCAACAUCUAGGACAAGUCCAUAAAAGAAAAAAUUAAUUAGGGGAAUUAGCAACUACAUUCACCAAUUUUGUACUAUUUUCUUCAUUCGAAUAUGGUGACUUUGUUUCAAAAAAUGACAGACCUUAAUAGCAAAAAAUAAUAAUAAUAAUAAUAAAAUAAAAAAAGAACUAAAUAGUAAAAUGUAAAAUAAACCGAAUAAUAAAUAAGAAAAGACAACCAUUUAGAAGAAUUAAACGAACCACAGACUUCAGAUCCAAAUUUCCACUAAACCCCUUUAAAAUCAUAACUUCAGCUGCAAAUAUUUCGUCAACCUCUGCUAGCUCCUGUGAAAGUUGAUCAUUGUCAUGUGUCAUCAUGUUAAAACUACGUAUUUUAUAAACCUGUGAAAUCUUGACAUUUGAGUUGGGAUUCUCAUCCAUACAUACCUUUGUAAUACCUCCUUAAUCACCUCUAACAAAGCUUUUCUAAACCGAUCAAGAAUGGAUCGUGUUCUUGAUUAAGAAAAACAGAGAAAUGUAUAUGAGAAAGAUUAUCACCAACUGAUUACUAAAUCGCACAACAAUACAAACAUGCUCAUACCUUUCAAUGCCUGAAUAACUUGUUCCUAGAAAUAACUUAUCAUCAAAACUUAUCACAUCUGUCAAUGGUCAUAUUAGAUAUACUUACAUCUAGAUAAUAUAGAGCUAUAAUAUAUAAAUAAAAGAAAUGAGUUGAAUAAGCAUAAGCAAAAAAUACAUAAAUGGUAGAUUAUACUAGCCAUUUUUGGAGAAAAAAGUAAUAAAUGCCCCCAAUUCAAAAAGAUGAAAAUGGGAUUGGAUCCCAUACCUGUUUCCCCAUUUUUAAGAGUUGUUCCCAUGAAUUACUUCCUUAGCAUCUUUGCAAUCAGGUAUAUGCAUUACAAAAAACCCAUGAAUUACUUCCUUAGCAUCUUUGCAAUCAGGUAUAUGCAUUACAAAAAACCAAGUUUUUUAAAGUAUUUCUUCCUAGUAUUAGUCCUCUCAGUAAGUAAUAAGCAAGAUAUCAGGAUAUAAAGCAGUCAAAGUUACCUGUCUCGAACCAAAUAACAUGGGGAAGUAAGUCAUUCAUCAUCAAUUGAAUAUUCUUUGUCACAUAGGUCAGCUUGCAUUUUCCUACAGUUAAUAGAAACCAAACAAUAUUUCAGUUUAUUGAUUUCAUAAAAGAGGUUAAAAAGAUAACAUUAAACACUAAGUGAGCACAAAAUUAAGAUUCCUAUAAGAUAUGAAUAAUGGAUUUGAAUAAAAAUUCAAAAACUUGGUUCAGGAAUUUUAUCGAACAGUUGGCAUGCAUCAUCAAAUUUACUUUCAAACCUCAAAACUAACUGGGUGGGUAUAGUUGAAUUGUAUUCUUGAGGUACGAUGGAGGUGACUCAGGUACGUUGAACAGACGCCCAUAUUCCCUUCACAAUAAUAAUUGGGUGUUCAGAUUAUUACUACUUUGUACAUAUUGAUAAUUGUUGUAUGUUGCGCUUAAUCAAUAAGAAAAUAUGUUUCAGACAUCACUUUAGAAUGCCUGGUAGAGAAAUUUAAAUCAAUUUAUAAAGAUUUAAACAAACGUACCUUCAAGCAUCACCUUAUCUGAAGUAACUCUACAAACAUGAAUCGGUAUUGAUGAAGCAAUCGAUGGCAGAAUAAAAGAAGAUUAAUCAAUUUCAAAUUUUAUACCUUGUUAAUAUCUUGGUCAAAAUAAAUGGAAGCCAAUCGAUUUUAAGGGGAAAAGAGAAGCAGUUGGCAAGGCAAAUGGGAUGAUUGAUUUUAUACCUUGUAUAGUGUAUGUCGUCUCCUCCUUUCUAAGGACCACAUAGCAACACGCAACAACGGAAAAGCUAAACAUGGGUGGGGAAUGCACCUAUUGUCGGUGGGAAUUAGAAUUGCUUUUCCUUCCCGUGGGGAUUAACGCUUCCCAAUGACGAAGUUGGAAAAGGAGUAGGAUAGAGUGAAGGCGGUGUCAGAAGAGCCAUGAUUAACUUCAUCUGCAUCAACCCGAACUAACGCCUUGUCACGAGUUCUAAUUAAGGAGAGAAAUAAGAGGAUACGGAGGGAAAGUGAGGGGUGUCGAAGGAAAAUCGUAUUUCCGAGUUUCAUUAAUGAAAGGAAAGUGAGGGAGGGGAAGGAUUUUGGAGUCAUAUUUUCCUUCCAAAAUUUUCUCCCAAA